UGNGAGGCCUCAACUUACCUGGCACUUGUGU
rnacentral:piRNA from 1 species